UACGUAGGCAGCAAGCGUUGUUCGGAGUUACUGGGCGUAAAGGGUGCGUAGGCGGUCCUAUAAGUAUGGUGUGAAAUCUCCCGGCUUAACUGGGAGGGUGCGCUAUAGACUGUGGGACUAGAGUGUGGGAGAGGAAAGUGGAAUUCCUGGUGUAGCGGUGAAAUGCGUAGAUAUCAGGAGGAACACCGGUGGUGUAAACGGCUUUCUGGACCAUAGCUGACGCUGAGACACGAAAAGCGUGGGGUAGCAAAACAGG
rnacentral:rRNA from 1 species